UACGAAGGAUGCGAGCGUUAUCCGGAUUUAUUGGGUUUAAAGGGUGCGUAGGCGGUCUUAUAAGUCAGUGGUGAAAUCUUGUCGCUUAACGACAAACGUGCCAUUGAUACUGUAGGACUUGAGUACAGAUGCCGUUGGCGGAAUGUGUCAUGUAGCGGUGAAAUGCAUAGAUAUGACACAGAACACCGAUUGCGAAGGCAGCUGACGAAACUGUAACUGACGCUGAUGCACGAAAGCGUGGGGGAUCAAACAGG
rnacentral:rRNA from 1 species